AACGCACAUUGCGCCCAUUGGUAUUCCGAUGGGCAUGCUGCAGCGAGCGUCGCUUCUAAUUCAGCACCAGCUGGUUUUGGACGUGCCUACGGGCUGUUCCGCAAUGAAGUGACCGCGUGGUCAUGGCUGACAGGAGUCGCCAUACGCGGCAAAAAUCAUAUUUGACUUUUGACCUCGCUGUAGUAGGAGUACCCGCUGAACUUAA
rnacentral:misc_RNA from 1 species